rnacentral:rRNA from 1 species
UACGUAGGGUGCGAGCGUUGUCCGGAUUUAUUGGGCGUAAAGAGCUUGUAGGCGGCUCGGCACGUCCGUUGUGAAAUCGCCCGGCUCAACUGGGCGGGGUCAGCGGAUACGGCCGAGCUUGAGCAAGCUAGGGGGCAAUGGAAUUCCCGGUGUAGUGGUGGAAUGCGUAGAUAUCGGGAGGAACACCAGUGGCGAAGGCGGUUGCCUGGGGCUUUGCUGACGCUGAUGCGCGAAAGCGUGGGGAGCGAACAGG